CGCUAAAUUUUCCAUCAUAGAAUAUGAGAAAAAUUCCGAACUGUCACAAUUGACUGAAGGAGACUGCCUUAGAAGCGAUGCUAAGAAAACUGUCACCAAUCAAGAACCUGAAUUGCAUUAUGAAUGAGGUGAACAAGUUAACGACUCAUUUUCAGAAUGUGGAUAAGGAUGCAUUUUUUAAUAAAUACGGACGUUUGAUGGAAAUUGCAAGGGUAGAAGUCUUAAGCCCAGCUGUGCGAGCCAUAGUUCAUUUUUGGGAUCCAGACUACCGGUGUUUUUCUUUUGGAAGCAUAGACCUUUGGCUAGAGAGUUUGUGGAGGAAAGGGAUUAAUAAAU
rnacentral:lncRNA from 1 species